CCCAGAGGUAUUGAUUGGUGAGUUUCUUAAGUACGCACUUCGUACUGAUUAUCUUGCACCGGCCUGCGCGGAUGCGCAGGUUUUUUUU
rfam:Enterobacter aerogenes KCTC 2190, complete genome.